GUAUUUAUUUCCUUCUAAUAAAGCUGGGUGACAUUUCUUGCUUCCCUUUUCCUCGAAAAAGGGUAUUUAAGACAUGUUCUUUGGAGUGUAAAAACCUUAGCCGGGAAUAUAUAUUUUCUUGGAUACGUAUCUUUCAAGCAAUAUUUAGAUAUAAAAAUAAUUUAUUCAUAUUUUUUUAUGCCUUGGAAAGUGGCUUUGCAAUCUGUUAUCCAUGUUCUUUUAUAUUAUUAUUUUUCUGA
rnacentral:lncRNA from 1 species